AAACCAGCACCUCAAGUGGUCAGGAUGAUUAUUGGGCCUAAAGCAUCCGUAGCCUGUUCUAUAAGUUUCCGGUUAAAUCCAUUAGCUCAACUAAUGGGCCGCCGAAAAUACUGUAGAACUAGGGAGUGGGAGAGGUAGACGGUAUUCGGUAGGAAGGGGUAAAAUCCUUUGAUCUAUUGAGGACCACCUGUGGCGAAGGCGGUCUACCAGAACACGUUCGGCGGUGAGGGAUGAAAGCUGGGGGAGCAAACCGGAUUAGAAACCCCGGUAGUCC
rnacentral:rRNA from 1 species